UACAGGGGGUGCAAACGUUGUUCGGAAUUAUUGGGCGUAAAGAGCUCGUAGGCGGUUUGUCGCGUCUGCUGUGAAAACUCGGGGCUUAACUCCGGGCCUGCAGUGGGUACGGGCAGACUAGAGUGCGGUAGGGGAGACUGGAAUUCCUGGUGUAGCGGUGAAAUGCGCAGAUAUCAGGAGGAACACCGGUGGCGAAGGCGGGUCUCUGGGCCGUAACUGACGCUGAGGAGCGAAAGCGUGGGGAGCGAACAGG
rnacentral:rRNA from 1 species